rnacentral:rRNA from 1 species
UACAGAGGUCUCAAGCGUUGUUCGGAUUCAUUGGGCGUAAAGGGUGUGUAGGUGGUGCGCUAAGUCGGGUGUGAAAUUUCGGAGCUUAACUCCGAAACUGCAUUCGAUACUGGCGUGCUUGAGGACUGGAGAGGAGACUGGAAUUCAUGGUGUAGCAGUGAAAUGCGUAGAGAUCAUGAGGAAGACCAGUGGCGAAGGCGGGUCUCUGGACAGUUCCUGACACUGAGACACGAAGGCCAGGGGAGCAAACGGG